GAUCAUGCUCAGGAUAAACGCUGGCGGCGUGCAUAAAACAUGUAAGUCGAACGAGGUGAGGCCGCAAGGCCGAGCCGAGUGGCGGACGGCUGAGUAACGCGUAGGUGACUUGCCCGGAAGUGUGGAAUAACGAUUCGAAAGAAUCGCUAAUACCGCAUAUGGUUGUGCGUAUAGACACGUGCAACCAAAGCCGCAAGGCGCUUCUGGAGAGGCCUGCGUCCGAUUAGCUAGUUGGUGGGGUAACGGCCUACCAAGGCGACGAUCGGUAGCUGAUCUGAGAGGAUGAUCAGCCAGACUGGGACUGAGACACGGCCCAGACUCCUACGGGAGGCAGCAGUUAGGAAUUUUGCACAAUGGGCGAAAGCCUGAAUGCAGCAACGCCGCGUGGAUGAUGAAGGCCUUCGGGUCGUAAAAUCCUUUUCAGAGGGAAGAAACGGACGGUACCUCUGGAAUAAGCGUCGGCUAACUACGUGCCAGCCGCUGC
rnacentral:rRNA from 1 species